GCCAAUAUGAGUUUUUACAUUUCAGUAGCACAUAGAGUAAUAAUUGCGUGUCACCUUUUAAUAAUGCAAGGGACAGAUACCUGUAAGGAACUAGAAAAUGUCUAUACCAACCUCCGAGACAUUAUGUAAAUGUUUCUGAAAUAUUUUCAAGUCUUGCAAGCCUUUUAACUCUCUCAUCGAAUUUGGGUUUUAAAAGCACAGGGAUUUUGUAGAUGCCCAGGACAACCUACCUUGGGGCAGGUUUUCUGUGAUCAAACAUCCCAAUAGAUUAGCUCAUAAGCUCAUAAGUUUGUUUCUGCUAUAUAGGCUACAACAAGCCCUACAAUCAUGAAGGUGCAGCAGCUGAUUUUAGGUGUCAUGAAAGGACAGCCAAUUGUUAUUUACUUUAUUAUUAUUUUACUACCAGAGGGGGGAGGCACUUGUGGGUUUUGCUGCCACCUUACAUAACUGUAUUUUCCCACAACACAAACUUGGGUGAACAUGAAAUGUUCAAAGAUUUGUUCUGGGAUAAAUAAUACCCAAGCUAUGAGAAAAUUGGCUGGUACAGUAUAAUGCUGGCUCUUCUUCCACCAGGUAGUGGCAUACAUAGGCACUAUUUCACGGGGGUAGAGUUACAUAACCCAUGUAUCCAUACUUUGCUUCUUUCAGCAUAGACUACCAAGAACCAUAUCAGGUAGAUUAGACUGAUGAAGAUGGACUGAUCCAGCAUUAUAUGGUGAGCUUCUUGCCUGGACAAAUAUUUUAAUGUUACUCUCUGGGGUCAAGGUCCAGCACUCUGGCCACUAGAUCACAUUGGUUCAUGAGGGUAAAUCACUAAAUAAACAACAUUCCAUAAUGUGCUUAUUGAAUUUACAUGGGAUAAAAUUAUCCCUGAUCAUUUGAGCUGGAAUAAUUUAAUCACAUAUAAAAGAUUUCUCAAUGGCAGUUGCUGCUCAUUCAUGACUGCCCAUUGCAAAGGGCUGAGCUACAUGGUAUCACGCCAAGGGUGUGUUUUGAGAUCUGCGUCUGCUGAGGUAAUUUGGAAAUUGGAAGGAAAACCCUUCUCCAUGCCCACUUAUUCUCCGCUGAAAACAUUUGCUCCACAAACAAGGUAAAGUCACAAUUUGAAUUACUAAUUCAGAGCAAGGGGUGUGGAGGGGAAAGCUUUAAAAACAACUGUGGGAAAGUAUUUGCAUGGGAGAAUUGGUAGGCAGGAGAUGGACUAUGUGUUUCUCCUCUACAAGUGUUCUCUGCAUUUGUGUUAUGAGCAAAACAUAGGGCAGAGAACUAACUAUGUAUUUCUUUUCUUUUUUUUAAUAAUUUUUAUUAACCGACCAAUCAAAUCAAAUCAAAUCACAUCACAUAAAUUCCGAAUUACAAAGCCGAAUUUUAAAUUUUUGUUGAGGGGACCCAUAUUUCAAGUUUCAAAGGGGGAUUCCGAUCAUCUUCUUGCUACUGCGUUCAUAUCCAAAUCAGUCCAAAUAAAGUUCAUAAUUCUAUCCAGUCUUAUCUUGCUGUUUCCACAUCUCAUCUUAUUCGUACAUUUUUCUUUAUGAUCUCUUCUGAUAAUCUCCUUAAGCAGAUAAACACCAAUUAUAUCCUGUGUGGAUUUUUCCGUUCGACCAAUCCUCAUAUCGUGAUGGUUUCCAUAUAUCAUCACUUUCAUAAAUAACAUCGCUCUUUCCAUCAUUAAUCUCAGGAUCUGUCGUUUUUGAGUCCCACUGAGGAGUCUCACCCACAGUAUAAAAACAGCUCUUUUCCUCCUCCCAGACUCAAGUCCUCCGACAGAGCUUACCAAUAUGGCGAUGGUAUUUUUAACUGCAUCAUUCCAGAGCUCUUAAACUUUCCACGCUCUUCUUAAAACAUGCUUUGG
rnacentral:lncRNA from 1 species